rnacentral:rRNA from 1 species
CCUACGGGAGGCAGCAGUAGGGAAUCUUCCACAAUGGGCGCAAGCCUGAUGGAGCAACACCGCGUGAGUGAAGAAGGGUUUCGGCUCGGAAAGCUCUGUUGGUGGAGAAGAACGUGCGGGAGAGUAACUGUUCACGCAGUGACGGUAUCCAACCAGAAAGGCACGGCGAACUACGUGCCAGCAGCCGCGGGAAUACGUAGGUGGCAAGCGUUAUCCGGAUUUAGUGGGCGGAAAGCGAGCGAAGGCGGUUGCUUAGGUCUGCUGUGAAAGCCUUCGGCUUAACCGCAGAAGUGCAUCGGCAACCGGUCGACUUUAGUGCAGCAGAGGCCAGUGGAACUCCAUGUGUAGCGGUGACAUGCGUAGAUAUAUGGAAGAACACCAGUGGCGAAGGCGGCUGUCUGGUCUGCAACUGACGCUGAGGCUCGAAAGCCUGGGUAGCGAACAGGAUUAGCUACCCCAGUAGUC